AUGAACGCUGGCGGCGUGCCUAAUACAUGCAAGUCGAGCGAACGGACGAGAAGCUUGCUUCUCUGAUGUUAGCGGCGGACGGGUGAGUAACACGUGGAUAACCUACCUAUAAGACUGGGAUAACUUCGGGAAACCGGAGCUAAUACCGGAUGAUAUUUUGAACCGCAUGGUUCAAAAGUGAAAGACGGUCUUGCUGUCACUUAUAGAUGGAUCCGCGCUGCAUUAGCUAGUUGGUAAGGUAACGGCUUACCAAGGCAACGAUGCAUAGCCGACCUGAGAGGGUGAUCGGCCACACUGGAACUGAGACACGGUCCAAACUCCUACGGGAGGCAGCAGUAGGGAAUCUUCCGCAAUGGGCGAAAGCCUGACGGAGCAACGCCGCGUGAGUGAUGAAGGUCUUCGGAUCGUAAAACUCUGUUAUUAGGGAAGAACAUAUGUGUAAGUAACUGUGCACAUCUUGACGGUACCUAAUCAGAAAGCCACGGCUAACUACGUG
rnacentral:rRNA from 1 species